GAGUGUGAGCCUUCUGUCAUGCCCGGGUAGGGCCACCAGAGGGCUCCUUGGUCUAGCGGUAA
ensembl:miRNA